GGUUGAUCCUGCCAGUAGUGAUAUGCUUGUUUCAAAGAUUAAGCCAUGCAUGUCUAAGUAUAAGCGAACUUAUACAGUGAAACUGCGGAUGGCUCAUUAAAACAGUUUGAAUUUAUUUGAUGAAUGUAUGAGAAUACUACUUGGAUAACCGUAGUAAUUCUAGAGCUAAUACAUGCAACGACGCCCGACCGUUUCACUACGGAAGGGCUGUAUUUAUUGGAUACCAAAACCAUCCUUCCCUCGGGAAGUUUUGUUUGAUGAUUCACAAUAACUGAUCGGAUCGCCACUGUGGUGGCGACAGGUCAUUCAACAUUCUGCCCUAUCAGCUUUCGAUGGUUGUGUAGUGGACAACCAUGGCCAUAACGGGUAACGGAGAAUCAGGGUUCGAUUCCGGAGAAGGAGCUUGAGAAUUGGCUACUACAUCUAAGGAAGGCAGCAGGCGCGCAAAUUACCCAAUCCCGAUUCGGGGAGGUAGUGACAAAAAAUAACAAUACCGGGCCUUUUUGGGCUUGGUAAUUGGAAUGAGGGAGAGUUAAACGGACCAUCGAGUAUCCAUUGGAGGGCAAGUCUGGUGCCAGCAGCUGCGGUAAUACCAGCUCCAAUAGCGUAUAUUAAAGUUGUUGCAGUUAAAAAGCUCGUAGUUGGACUUGUGUGCGCUGUCCGCGGGUGGCCUGCGCCCAAAAGGGCGUUUCGGUUCGGCCCCGGUGGCGCCUUGAAAUCUGCAGCUGGGGGGACGUUGGCCUUAACUGGUCGGCGACCGCACGCCGGCUGCUCGGUUACUGUGAGAAAAUUAGAGUGUUCAAGGCAGGCAUUGGGUGCAAUUGAAUACAUUAGCAUGGAAUAAUAAAAUAUGGCUCCUGCCGUAUUUUGUUGGUUUUGACUGGUGGGAGUAAUGAUUGAUAGGGACGGUUGGGGGUGCUAGUAUUGAGCGGCCAGAGGUGAAAUUCAUGGAUUCGCUCAAGACUAACUUAUGCGAAAGCAUUCACCAAGGACGUCCUCUUUAAUCAAGAACGAAAGUUGGGGGAUCGAAGACGAUCAGAUACCGUCGUAGUCUCAACCAUAAACUAUGUCGACUUGGGAUCGGCGGUAGUUUUUUCAUUAAGACACUGUCGGGACCACGGGAGAAAUCAAAGUGUCUGGACUCUGGGGGAAGUAUGGUCGCAAGGCUGAAACUUGAAGGAAUUGACGGAAGGGCACCACCAGGAGUGGAGCCUGCGGCUUAAUUUGACCCAACACGGGGAAACUUACCAGGUCCAGAGAUAUAGAGGAUUGACAGAUUGAAGCUCUUUCUUGAUCACUUCGGUGGUGGUGCAUGGCCGUUCUUAGUUGGUGGAGUGAUUUGUCUGGUUAAUUCCGUU
rnacentral:rRNA from 1 species